rnacentral:tRNA from 2 species
GAGCCGUUAGCUCAGCUGGCAGAGCACCGGACUUUUAAUCCGGGUGUCCCGGGUCCGAGUCCCGGACGGCUCACCA